rnacentral:rRNA from 1 species
AGAGUUUGAUCAUGGCUCAGAACGAACGUUAGCGGCGCGCCUAACACAUGCAAGUCGAGCGAGAAAGGGCUUCGGCCCGGUAAAGCGGCGCACGGGUGAGUAACACGUGGAUAACCUACCCCUUGGUGGUGGAUAACCUUCCGAAACCAUGGCUAAUACCGCAUAUUGUCCUUCGGGAUGAAAGCCUUCGGGCGCCAGUCGAGCAGCCUGCGUCCCAUUAUUUAGUCCUAGUUGGUAGGGUAAUGGCCUACCAAGGGUACGAUGGGUAGCUGGUCUGAGAGGAUGAUCAGCCACACUGGAACUGAGACACGGUCCAGACUCCUACGGGAGGCAGCAGUGGGGAAUAUUGCGCAAUGGGCGAAAGCCUGACGCAGCCACGCCGCGUGAGUGAUGAAGGCCUUCGGGUUGUAAAGCUCUGUCGGGAGGGACGAAAGGGAAACCUUGACGGUACCUCGCAAGAAAGCACCGGCUAACUCUGUG